rnacentral:rRNA from 1 species
AUACGGAGGACGCGAGCGUUAUCCGGAUUCAUUGGGUUUAAAGGGUGCGCAGGCGGCCGUGCAAGUCAGCGGUGAAAGCCCGGGGCUCAACCCCGGAAGUGCCGUUGAUACUGCAUGGCUGGAAUGCGGUCGAGGCGGGCGGGACGGGGGGUGUAGCGGUGGAAUGCGUAGAUAUGCCACAGAACGCCGAUAGCGGAGGCAGCUCGCCAGGCCUGCAUUGACGCUCGGGCACGAAAGCGUGGGGAUCGAACAGGAUUAGAUACCCUGGUAGUCCACGCCGUAAACGAUGGGCGCUCGUCGUCGGCGGCAGACAGUCGGCGGCCAAGCGAAAGCGAUAAGCGCCCCACCUGGGGAGUACGGUCGCAAGGCUGAAACUCAAAUGAAUUGACGGGG